rnacentral:lncRNA from 1 species
CUAGGUGCCUUCCCCUUAACCCCCUGGGAACAAAUUAAACAGAACAAUAUUAACAAUUUCACAAACACACUGAGUAAUAAAGGAUAUCAAAUAAGUUCUGACUGAGCAACAAACUCUCACAGAACAUACCAAAGCUGCUCCCACCUACAACUAACAUAGUACAUACCAACUGCCUGAGAAACCACCAACAUAUGCUAAUAACCAUCAGCGAUCCUCACGCAGCACAAUCCUCUCUCUCCUGAACAACAGAACACUGGCUUUUAUAACUGGAGAAGGAGUCUAAUGGGAUACAGCUGUUCACAAUAACAGUGGAGGCUGGCUCAGCUGGGUCUUUGGGAGUGGAAYAGCUAAUAAGAAGGAGGUUCAUCUACCUGAGGACAAAGACAGAUCUGUUAGGAACUGGUUCUUAACACUAUAUUCUAUGUAGAGACAAUUGAGUGGAUUUUGUUUAAAAAAAAUUGUGGCUUGCUUCACAUUGCUAAUAUCUUCUUCCUCAGAUUGUCUGGGAUCCAACUCUGCACAGAUGGGUUAACAAAACUGAGCCCAAGGCUGAGGACAAGUGUGUACCACCACCUCCACCGAUGGGGACAUAUGGAUAUCAGGGGAACACUGGCAGUGUCCCCAAAGGAGUGAAUCCCUACUCUAUGAAAGCAGCAGGUCUAUGGGGRAGCAGAUACCCUACAAUGCAUUUCAAUGAUGGGACCAACUCAAAGCCUCCAAGCCAUGGGCCUGGACUGCUUACUAAACAGCUCUCUGGCUUGCUCCCUCCUUCACACUUUGACCUCAUGGCACCAAUGGUUGUGCCACCUGACACUCUACCUUACUGAGGUGCGAGGGACAUCCUGUGCCACCAGUCAGUUGAUGGUGGAUGACCUUCUGACCCCGUGCUCGCCAGGUGACCCGGGUGCCAGAGAAUUGACCUGGAUGGAUGUGCCUAGCGACAAGCUGCUGGAGCCCAUCAUCUGCAUGUCUGACAUGCUGUGCUCACUAUCCACCACGCAACCCACAGUCAACAUGGAGGUCUUGUUCAAGGUCAGGAAGUUCACAGAGGACUUAGAGCAGGAGGGUUGAGAGGCCCUGGUUGGCAGGGGCUUUACUACUCCUUACUCAGUCUCUCCUAUCAAGACCCAACUCCAGUCAAAUAGUAGCUACAGUAUUACAACAGUAUUACAACACUACGAACCUGCAUUGGCAAGAAUGAUGGAGCAUUUAAAUUUACACACAAUUGUGCAAUGGAAAUAUAUCUUUUUUGCAUAUCCCAACUCUGAGACACCCACAAGUGCCUUGCUCAAGGGCACAGCGUCAUCAUUAUUUAUUUUCCCACGUUGUCGGCUCCGGUAUUUGAGCCAGCAACCUUUCGGUAACUGGCCCAAUGAUCUAACCUUGAGGCUACGUGCCACCUCUUAGGGGCUUAAUACAGUUCCAGCCAAUAGGGGGUACUCUGGUGAAGCCCAUGGGAAAUAAAGAAAUGUAGUUCAAGUGAAUUGGGAAGAGU